GUACCUCAGCACAAUGAGAGUCUAAAACCCAAAAAUCAUACAAAUAAACACUAUCCAAGUAAGUAAAUUACUCCCCAAAACCUGGACAAUUAAUAUCUCAAAUCUUGGUGGCAAAGACACAGAAGGUGAUAGACAUUAAUGAUUAACGACCAAAAGAGCAAUGCAAUCAGUCAUUAGGAUGAAUCACACAUUUAAAGCAAAUACAAUAUUCAGUGUGAAAAAUUUGCAGACAGUUUAAAUAUGGAAAACUCACUCGUUAAUCAGUAAAGAAAAUAAAAUGACAUUAAUCCAAAAAUCUCAGCAUAGUUAUUAAGGCUCAAGGCGCACUAAGGUGC
rnacentral:misc_RNA from 1 species